CUUUUGGUAUGUUGUAGUACUCUGAUUUAGCUUUCCAUAGACUCCGGAACGGACUAAUUCCGAUUCCGGAUGAGGUAGUUAUGGCAUUCGGGAGAUGUGUAUCAAAACUGUUAAUCAAAUUCCGAACAGCCACAUUUGUGUAAAUUUCUGGACUGAUGUGUAAUGAUUUUGGAAAAAUGUCGUGAGACAAAAGUUGUAGCCCUUGAAGUUAUCUUCGCGUGGGCUCAAGAAUCGCUCAAAAAUGUUUUAAAACGCGAGAGUUAUGGCUGUUUUAGUGAGGCUGGGUAAAAUAUUUAGAAAAUCAAAAGUGUCCAAAAAUAGGAAAAAUGCGAUGUAUGAAGUGAGACCCGUGAGCAUGGUUUAUGCAAGUUUGUAAUGAAGCUUUGGGCCGGGUUUAAAGUGUUGUAAUGUUUAUAGCAUUUUAGAAUGCUUAAGCAAGUUAUUUAUUAAAGAGGAAAACAAUUGAAAUAAUUGUUUAUUUAUGUGAUUAAUGACUUAAGUUAUUUUUAUAUGACUAAUAAUAUUG
rnacentral:lncRNA from 1 species